GAAGAAAAGACUGGCACUCUCCCACAGGCAACCUUACACAUAACAGAGAAAAGGACAACAAGACCAGUCCCAGCAAUACCAGCAGAGAACUGAGUAAGAAACAGAGGAACCUCUCUCCCAGAAUUCUUUAAUGACUGUAUUGUCCUUCUCCCAUUCCGCUGCUUGUUAAACAUAUAGGAUAGCAGACUCUCACAUGCGUGGAAAUAAUUUUUCUUGUACAGAUCUCUCACGCGGCCUACUUUCUUACUGUUCCUCCUUUUUGGUGAGGGCUUGACCUUAAUUAUA
rnacentral:misc_RNA from 1 species